GACGAACGCCGGCGGCAUGCCUAACACAUGCAAGUCGAACGAGACCUUCGGGUCUAGUGGCGCACGGGUGCGUAACGCGUGGGAACCUGCCCUUAGGUUCGGAAUAACUCCCCGAAAGGGGUGCUAAUACCGGAUAAUGUCUUCGGACCAAAGAUUUAUCGCCUUUGGAUGGGCCCGCGUUGGAUUAGCUAGUUGGUAGGGUAAAAGCCUACCAAGGCGACGAUCCAUAGCUGGUCUGAGAGGAUGAUCAGCCACACUGGGACUGAGACACGGCCCAGACUCCUACGGGAGGCAGCAGUGGGGAAUAUUGGACAAUGGGCGAAAGCCUGAUCCAGCAAUGCCGCGUGAGUGAUGAAGGCCUUAGGGUUGUAAAGCUCUUUUACCCGGGAUGAUAAUGACAGUACCGGGAGAAUAAGCUCCGGCUAACUCCGUG
rnacentral:rRNA from 1 species